UUGAUUACGUCCCUGCCCUUUGUACACACCGCCCGUCGCUGCCCGGGACUGAGCCAUUUCGAGAAACUUGGGGACCGCUGAUUCGGUGGCUUUCGGGUCACCUUUUUGGUGGAAACCAAUUUAAUCGCAGUGGCUUGAACCGGGCAAAAGUCGUAACAAGGUAGCUGUAGGUGAACCUGCUGCUGGAUCAUU
rnacentral:rRNA from 1 species